AUGUCGCAUUUCCCUUCCCCAGUCACGAGCGGCUUGUGGAAUAGUGUCAGUGUGGAUCUGGCCUCUCGGCGUCUUGUUGGGAACUUGGAUCCCUUGCUUCGGCUGCAGCUGCUGAUCGCUGCACCUGCGCGCACCGUCGUGCUCCGGCGCCGCGCCCACCACGUCGGCCGUUCUGGAAGGGGUCAAGUCUCCAGUGUGCUGCACGUUCAGCUGCUUGCUCGCCGACCGCUGUCCUUGUCCAAAAUGCAUGCUGCGUGCCCCAACUCGUUUGUUCUAUCUCAAGAAAGAAGCUCGUCUGCUUUUGUUCUAUUUGCUCCGUGA
rnacentral:rRNA from 1 species